UGAUCAGAAGAUGAUCCGCUGGUUUGGAGGUUGCCCCUUUUAUAGUUGAAGAAAUCUCUCCUUUUAGGGUUUUGAAAUCCCUUUUUGGUUUGGCUUGUGAUUCCUCUUUUGAUGUUGAAUUUGAUUGCAACUGGAAUUCCUUAAGUGAGAAACUCUUUCGUGGCUCUUGGAAUUGAUUUGGUAGUGAUUGAGUUGGAUUUGGACUUCUGAAAACUUGAAAUUCGGUUUCCAGCUGUUUUCCCGCCUCUGCUGUCAAGUUCUGCUGUCAAGGUGAUUUGCCCAGUUUUCUGUGAGUGAUUUGGGCAAAUCACCGGGCAAAUCGCUCUCUGGGAUUCAGUCCAGUUUCUGUCUCUGUAGUUCUGCUGUCAAGGUGAUUUGCCCAGUUUUCUUCGAGUGAUUUGGGCAAAUCACUUUUGCUGUCAUUUUCUGCACUUUUUCUCCAACUCUUCAAUUUCUUCCUUUUCUAUAAAAACAUAACAAAAACACAAUUUAAGCUAGAAAAAUAUGUAAAUAAACAGUAAAUAAUAUAUUAAAAACAUGGCUAAAUUAUGCUUGAUCACC
rnacentral:lncRNA from 1 species